rnacentral:tRNA from 1 species
GCCUUGCUGGCUCAGUAGGUGGAGCACAGGACUCUUGAUCUUGGGGUUGUGAGUUUAAGCCCCACACUGGGCA